CGGAGAAGGAGCCAUCCAAUGCAUUCUCUUUGUUCCUUUUACGACCUGGCAAAUUAAAUCCAUCAGCCAUCGUCAAAAACUCCUUGACACAAAAUCACUAUGAAACAACAGUGCUGUGCUCGGAAUCAAUUAAUAAAUCAUCUUGAUUUACCGGUAUCAUUCUCCUUGUUAUCGGAUAUGUUGAAUCUGGAAUCCAUAAAAGAGGCCGUGAGAUCAAAAAUCGUAACAUGUGAGUCUAGUGGGAAGGUGAUUCAAAACGAUUGUAGAGGGAAUCAUAAAGCAUACCAGAAUCGAGACAUUCUUUAUCUGUAUUUCCAUGUUUGGCUCCCUGAUUUGAGCUGUAGACAUGAAAACUUGGAAAGCAAAGAUAUGUAAAUAUAUUUGGACAGCUGUGAGAUUAAUGGGUUGUCCAAAGCGGGUAGUGUGCGGACAUUCAUCGGGUAACU
rnacentral:lncRNA from 1 species